rnacentral:rRNA from 1 species
GGCCUUGACAUACUAAGAACUUUCCAGAGAUGGAUUGGUGCCUUCGGGAACUUAGAUACAGGUGCUGCAUGGCUGUCGUCAGCUCGUGUCGUGAGAUGUUGGGUUAAGUCCGCAACGAGCGCAACCCUUUUCCUUAUUUGCCAGCGGGUCAUGCCGGGAACUUUAAGGAUACUGCCAGUGACAAACUGGAGGAAGGCGGGGACGACGUCAAGUCAUCAUGGCCCUUACGGCCAGGGCUACACACGUGCUACAAUGGUCGGUACAAAGGGUUGCUACCUCGCGAGAGGAUGCUAAUCUCAAAAAGCCGAUCGUAGUCCGGAUCGCAGUCUGCAACUCGACUGCGUGAAGUCGGAAUCGCUAGUAAUCGCGGAUCAGAAUGCCGCGGUGAAUACGUUCCCGGGCCUUGUACACACCGCCCGUCACACCAUGGGGGUUUGUUGCACCAGAAGUAGGUAGUCUAACCGCAAGGAGGACGCUUACCACGGUGUGGCCGAUGACUGGGGUGAAGUCGUAACAAGGUAGGCGUAGAUGA